rnacentral:piRNA from 1 species
UUGCUCCAAGGAACAGCUUAAGCCAGAG